rnacentral:lncRNA from 1 species
UAUACAGAUUGUGUUAAAAGUAUGAGUUUGAUUAGUUCUUUUGAUGUAUAAAAUUGUAACAUCUAUCUUUUUUCAAUAAAGUUUAAUGCAGCUGUGUUGGACUAUUUAAUAGACAUAAAAUUUCGUGUAUUAACGAAUGAGCAUACAGUUUAAGUUCAUUCAUAAAGUUGUGCCAUAUAAAGUACUCGGCUAGGAGGUGAAGAUGAUACAGUAAUUAUGGAAGAAAAAUUUCGUUAUAAAGAGGUGAACCGCCAUAGUUCCUAUCAUUGUAGUCUUUUAGUUUGAGCUAAAGAUCAAGUGAGUUCUAAGGUAUUUGACCAUAAAGUUUUCAAUAAUGCGCAAUAAAGAUUGGAGCAUAGAAAAUCCGUUCAUGGAAUAUAAUUAAUAUGAGCCAAGUGGGAGAUUGUUAGG